ACUUUGUAAGCAGAGUGCUCAAAGAACUACGGUGGCUUGAAAUACAGUGGGUGGGUGUCCCGCAGGGGAGUGUGGUUAAAGAAGCAUUUGUGGGGUAGUUCUUAGUACGUAAGCGCCAUGGAUGGCGAAUCGUGCAUGCUGCUACUAAGAACCAGCAGUAUCUUUUGAAGAUUUUCUACCUCCAGCUC
rfam:Glossina pallidipes unplaced genomic scaffold Scaffold0, whole genome shotgun sequence.